AGAGGCAGAUUUUGGAUUUAGAAAACUCUUAGCAAAAUCUUCCUGUGGCUUCUGAAGAAACAGUAGAUUCACUCGGAGGAUCAGCAUUCUCCUCAGGUGAGGAAGCUAAGGUCCAGAAUUGGAGCUGGCAGUAGUACAUCAGGAGUCCAGAUUCCAGUGAAUCCGAAAGGGCAUCCCCACAGCAGCUUCUGUGGUACCUGCAUGAUUCCUGUGGACUGAAUCCUGCCUUUGACUGAUUGCAAGAGAAAAAGUGGAACACAGAGCUGAGGACCGAACCCAGGGCCUUGCGCUUGCUAGGCAAGCACUCUACCACUGAGCUAAAUCCCCAACCCCGCUAUGUUAUUCUUAAUAGGAGGAACCAGGAUCCUAUUCAAUGCUCCUGUUAGUCAGCUUUCCAUUGCUGCAAUGAGAUACGUGAGAUGUGCUCACAGUGGGGACUGAAUGUCAACACCUGAAGCCUUGAGGGGUACAAUUGAAUUCUAUCCAAAACAUAGUAGUUGAGCCUCAAACACGAGGGCUGAUCAGCUGUCCCUAUUCCGUUGUUUCUGCUGGACAACAGGAGUCCUAUAGCAGGCAAAUAGCUGCCAAAACUGAGGAAUCUGCUGUGUGACUUCAAAGUAUAGAGAUGAAAAGUUAUGGCCCACUCAGAAAACUGAUGUUGGGCCAGUCCAGUCUGUCUAAAAGGGUCAUACAAGAAUUCUCAAGACACUACCAUUGCUGUAUGACUUUCAGAAAAUUGCCUUGCUAUGGAAGUAAUCAAUAGGAACAAAGCAAUAGAACACUUUCUUUAACAGAGGAGUUAGAUCUUCACAUAGGCUGGCCCAGCACAAAGAUCAGGGCCAUGGAUGUUACAUGCAAAAUGCAGCAUUGGAAACUCAAGGGUAAAACACAUUCCAAAUAAACAGAGCUUCAUCAUGGGCCUGCUAAUAUCCUGGAAACAUCGACAAACACAUAGAUCCAUACUCUCAGUUGGAUUGCCCAAUGCAGUCCAUCUCAAACUCAGGAGUAGACUCUGUUUCCUGCUCUGAGCAGUGUUCUCUCUGUGCAACUCACACAGACUCCACCAACCUUGGGGAAGAGAGGUUCAAGUCAGAAGAAGAGGCUCGUGGGAAGCAGACUUUGGUCCUAGCAGUUCCUUUUCCUUAACAGUGUGUAUGUGUGUGUACAUACUGUAGGUGUAUGCAUGGGUAUAUGGGAGCCAGAGGCCAAUAUCAGGGACUAAAUGAGGUGUGCACAUAGCAUCAACUUCUUCCCUGCACACAUGAAUGCAUGCAUACAUGUGAAGUUGUUCAUCAAAACGGUAAGCGAAGCUGCAUGGAUACACAUGUACAGCCACUCUGGUAGGAGUGUCUGGGAAUGCAUCCUGUUGGGAAAUGGCUGCUUAGCAUUGGUGGAGGUCGGAGAAAGGAGUUGGAUCAGGGACUUGACUCUCAGUUCCUGUUCUUACUUGAAACAGUGUCUGGCCUUGGGAAAAAAAAACUAUUUCCUUUAUCUGUAAGGAUGAUAAAUGCUUCUCUAGUCACAAAAAUAUUCUAAUAAAAUGGGAGCUCAUUUCUCCCUUUUGUGAAUGGAGACAGGAAAGCUAUACUUAUCUGAAAAUGUGUGCCAUUUGGUCCCAAGUCAAGUAUACCACUUCUAGAUGCAUUGUUUGAAUUAAGUUUCACAUCAUUUGAUAAGAUAAACAUUUUAUUUUCCU
rnacentral:lncRNA from 1 species